AGAAGAAGAAGAAGAAGAAGAAGAAGAAGAAGAAGAAGUAGCAGCAGCAGCAGCCGAUUCUCCCAGGACAAUAUUUGAAUGGAUUCUUCAAACUCAAAUUCUCCCCAAGCAAAUAGCACUAGUGGCACUUCUUCAAAAACUAGGGAGGAAGAAUUUAAUCCUCUGUGGAGAUAUGUAACUAAAC